GGGAAGAUGAAUGGUGGAUCGGAGUUGAACAAAGCUGAAUUAGAGAGUAAUAAUGGGGCUCCAAUUGAUGAUUAUGGAUCUGUGGUGGAGACCGAAAGUGUAACUACAGGGUUCGAGGAGUUCAACUUGGGAGUGGAGCAGUCCCCUGAGAACUUUAAUAGGGGACCUGUUUCAAUUUCUGCAACAUCGCCGGAGACGGUAGAGGCUGUAAGUGCCUCGCCGGAGGCCGGUGGGUUGGCAGUGCCGACUGAGGUGAAUUUCGAUGGGGCCAGUAUUGAGAGUGGGAACGAAUUGAUUAAUGGAAGGAAAAUGAGAGACAGAAGGAUGAAGAGUGCAUCUGGAGGGGACUGGUGGUGGAAACAAGAUAACAGU
rnacentral:misc_RNA from 1 species